CGAGCAGCCAGCGACCCUGCAGAGCGGAGAAUGGGAGUAGAGCAGAGUGUCUGAACAGCACGCACACCCAUCUCUCCGCUCUUCGCCUCGCUCUCCUGACCUGUUCACCCAUCCA
rnacentral:miRNA from 1 species